AAAAAAGGUGCGGGUCCGGGGCACUAAUGUUCGAAAAUGCAGUUUUAAGUGACCUCUCCCCGCGCACGCACUGUCGGUGGGGGCAGUCCCGAGGCCAGGCUGCGGGGCGCCUGGGGGGACUCGCCUCAGGGGGAAAUGGCCCUUUCAGGGCUCGACGGGUCCCCGGGACUAAACGCUCCGGCCGCGGAUCGGUGCCGGGGGAGCCCGGUCAGAGAGGCCGGGACCCCGAGGGACGCCUAGGUGCGUGUCCCGAAGCCCGCGUACCUCCAGCCCCGGCGAGACGGCGCCCAACUCGCGGCUCCAGUCACACGGCCCUUCCUGAGAGGAAACACCAGGGAAAGCACCUCUCACUUUUCUCAGGGUGGGAAAACUGUGAAGGAAGAAGACAAAGCAACAGGCAGAGACAUUUGUUUGGGUGAACAAUGCAUCUGCACAUUCCCAGAGUGUUGCCAAGGCCAAAUAUGAAUUUUUAUUUGGCAGAUCUGAA
rnacentral:lncRNA from 1 species